AUACGUAGGGGGCAAGCGUUAUCCGGAUUUACUGGGUGUAAAGGGAGCGUAGAUGGAAGGCCAAGUCUGAUGUGAAAGCCCGCGGCUCAACUGCGGGACUGCAUUGGAAACUGGUCAUCUGGAGUGCAGGAGAGGUUAUCGGAAUUCCCGGUGUAGCGGUGAAAUGCGUAGAGAUCGGGAGGAACACCAGUGGCGAAGGCGGGUAACUGGACUGCAACUGACGCUGAGGCGCGAAAGUGUGGGGAGCAAACAGGAUUAGAUACCCUGGUAGUCCACACUGUAAACGAUGAAUGCUAGGUGUAAGAGGUAUCGACCCCUUUUGUGCCGGAGUCAACACAAUAAGCAUUCCGCCUGGGGAGUACGGCCGCAAGGUUGAAACUCAAAGGAAUUGACGGGG
rnacentral:rRNA from 1 species